rnacentral:rRNA from 1 species
UACGUAGGGUGCAAGCGUUGUCCGGAAUUAUUGGGCGUAAAGAGCUCGUAGGCGGUCUGUCGCGUCUGCUGUGAAAACUCGGGGCUUAACCCCGGGCCUGCAGUGGGUACGGGCAGACUAGAGUGCGGUAGGGGAGACUGGAAUUCCUGGUGUAGCGGUGAAAUGCGCAGAUAUCAGGAAGAACACCCGUGGCGAAGGCGGCUCUCUGGGACGGUACUGACGCUGAGACGCGAAAGCGUGGGGAGCGAACAGG